AUAUGCCGGAUUUCUUUUUUCCGUCACUAAAAAUUAUUCCGUCCGUCUCCACUACUUUAGUUCCUCCCGUCAAUCAAACGGACCGGACUAUCUCAACAUUCUCAGAUGCCGGGCUCCACGUCUCCGCUUAAGUGGGUCCCACUUAAAUACGUGGACCAAUAAUAUUUCGACAACUCAGGAGUGUGCACUACUCCAGUUUCAGUCUUUUUGUGCUCCAAUGGCUAUUAUACGCCUUCUCCUUCUCUCUCCCGCUGAUGCCCUUUUCAUUUCACAAAAGAAGCGCCAACGAAUUUGGAUCCAAUUGCUUUAUGAAUUUACUAAAUUUUAAAUAAGUAUUUUUGUUUUUCUAUUUAAUUUUUAAAUAUUAUCGGAUCGAAUAUCUUCAUCUUCUUCAUAAAUUCUGAAGCACAAAAAAUAUUGAACGGCCACGAGUUGCCUUUUCCAUUAUCCUGUCGCUGUUUAGUUCGGUCUGAUUUCAUAGAGGCCAAGUAUUUUGAGUUAUUCAGGAUUCGCGUGGUGAUAGAGUGAUC